UGGGGAAUAUUGCACAAUGGAGGGAACUCUGAUGCAGCGACGCCGCGUGAGUGAUGAAGGAAUUCGUUUCGUAAAACUCUGUUCUAUGGGAAGAAAAGGACUGUACCAUAGGAGAAAGCUCCGGCUAAAUACGUGCCAGCAGCCGCGGUAAUACGUAUGGAGCGAGCGUUGUCCGGAAUUAUUGGGCGUAAAGGGUGCGCAGGCGGCUUUACAAGUUGGAUGUGAAAUAUUGUGGCUCAACCACAAACGUGCAUCCAAAACUGCAAAGCUUGAGUUAAGGGGAGGUAAGUGGAAUUCCUGGUGUAGCGGUGGAAUGCGUAGAUAUCAGGAGGAAUACCGGUGGCGAAGGCGACUUACUGGACUUAAACCGACGCUCAGGCACGAAAGCGUGGGGAGCAAACAGG
rnacentral:rRNA from 1 species